rnacentral:rRNA from 1 species
GAUGAACGCUAGCGGGAGGCUUAAUACAUGCAAGUCGAGGGGUAACGAUGGAGCUUGCUCCAGGCGACGACCGGCGCACGGGUGAGUAACGCGUACACGACCUACCUUAGAGAGGGGAAUAGCCUUGGGAAACUAAGAUUAAUGCCCCAUAGUAUUACUGUUAUUAGAAGAUGGUAAUUAAAACUCCGGUGCUCUAAGAUGGGUGUGCGUUAGAUUAGAUAGUUGGUGAGGUAACGGCUCACCAAGUCGACGAUCUAUAGGGGGCGUGAGAGCGUGGCCCCCCACACGGGUACUGAGACACGGACCCGACUCCUACGGGAGGCAGCAGUAAGGAAUAUUGGACAAUGGGCGCAAGCCUGAUCCAGCCAUCCCGCGUGCAGGAUGACGGCCCUAUGGGUUGUAAACUGCUUUUAGAAGGGACGAAACCCUCUGAUUUAUCAGGGGCUGACGGUACCUUCAGAAUAAGCACCGGCUAACUCCG